rnacentral:rRNA from 1 species
UUAGGAAUCUUGGACAAUGGGCGCAAGCCUGAUCCAGCCAUGCCGCGUGAGUGAUGAAGGCCUUAGGGUUGUAAAGCUCUUUCAGCGGGGAAGAUAAUGACGGUACCCGCAGAAGAAGCCCCGGCUAACUUCGUGCCAGCAGCCGCGGUAAUACGAAGGGGGCUAGCGUUGCUCGGAAUCACUGGGCGUAAAGCGCACGUAGGCGGAUUUUUAAGUCAGGGGUGAAAUCCUGGAGCUCAACUCCAGAACUGCCUUUGAUACUGGGGAUCUCGAGUCCGGGAGAGGUGAGUGGAACUCCGAGUGUAGAGGUGAAAUUCGUAGAUAUUCGGAAGAACACCAGUGGCGAAGGCGGCUCACUGGCCCGGUACUGACGCUGAGGUGCGAAAGCGUGGGGAGCAAACAGGAUUAGAUACCCCCGUAGUCC